rnacentral:rRNA from 1 species
GUUCCGCCCAUGCACGUGUAAGUACACAGAUCUGGUACAGUGAAAGUUACAAAUGGCUCAUUAAAUCGAUAAUGGUUCCUUUGAUCGUUCUAUCUUUUACUUGGAUAACUGGUCAUUCUAGUGCUAUAACAUGACCAUGAGCGCUGACCGUUCGGGGUGCAUGCAUUUUUUCAUUCCGGGCUCUCCAGCCGCUUUGGUGACUAUAACCUUGGGGCAGUCGCAUGUCCCAGUGACGGCGCAAAUACAUUCAGAUGUUUUUCCUAUCAAUUUUUGAUGGUACUUUCAGUGCCUAACAUGGUGUCCAUGGAUAGCAGGGAAUUAGGGUUUGAUACCGAAGAAGGAGCCUGAGAAAUGGCUACCACAUGCAAGGAAAGCAGCAGGUGUGCAAAUUACCUACUACCGACUCAGCGAGGUAGUGACAAAAAAUAAAAAUACAUGACACUUUCAAAGGAUCUGUAAUUGGAAUGAAUACACUUUAAAUCCUUUAACAAGGAUCCAUUCAAAAGCAGGUCUGGUGCCAGCAGCCGUGGUAAUUUCAGCUUCAAUAGUGAAUAUUAAAGUUGCUGCAGUUAAAAAGUUUUGUAGUUGGAACUUGGGAUCGAGCUGGCAGUGCGCUAUGAGACGAGCUGCCACGUGUCCCAGUCCAUGCCUCUCGGUGCCCCCUUGAUGCUCUUGAUCGAGUUCCUGGGUGUCCGAACAGGUUAGUUUGAAAAACCGGUCACCUAAAUACUUCAGCUAGGAAUAAUGGAAUAGGACUCUGUUUCUAUUUUGUUGGUUUUCAGAACUUCAGCCAUGAUUAAGAGGGGCAGCAGGGGGCAUUCAUAUUGUGAGGAUAGAAGGGAAAUUCUCAGACUGGCACAAGACGAACCAAAGCAAAACCAUUUGCCAUGAAUGUUUUCAUUAAUCAACAACGAAAGUCGGAUGUUCAAAGACGAUCAGAUACCAUCGUAGUUCUGACCAUAAACAAUGGUGACUAGCGAUCCAGCAGCGUUAUUCCAAACCAAAGUCUUUGAGUUCUGGGGUGAGUAUGGUUGCAAAGCUGAAACCUAAAAGAAUUGAUGGAAGGGCACCACCAGGAGUGGACCCUGCAGCUUAAUUUGACUUAACACAGGAAACCUCACCCAACCCGGAUACGGAAAUUAUUGACAGAGUGAUAACUCUUUCUCUAUUCUGUGGGUGGUGGUGCAUGGCUGUUCUUAGACGGUGAAAAGAUCUGUCUGGUUAAUUGAGUGUCAUAAGCUUGCAUUGAUUAAGUCCCUGCCUUUUUGAACACACUGCCCAUCACUAAUAAAAAUUGGAUGGUUUAGUGAGAAUCUAGGAUCAGUCGCACCAUUGUUGGCAGCAGCCCUGGUGGAGCACUGAGAAGAUGAUCAAAGAUGAAGUAAAAGUCCUAAUGAGGUUUCUGUAGGUGAACCUAUGGAAGAAUCAUUA